rnacentral:lncRNA from 1 species
AUAAAAAUACUUAAAACUAUUUCUAUAAUUACUGUGCAAUGCAGUGCUGAAAUUUUACAAUACAGUAUUAUAACAAAAUACUGUAAUGAUUACAUUACUGCCAAUAAAUUUAUUAUCAAUAGUUAAUUAUGGAUAAUAAAUUUAUCAUUAGUUGUAAAAGCAUUUUAAUAAGAUGUAAUUUAUGCAUAUACAGUAGAAGCCGCUUAUUGUAAUCACGGAUAUUGUUAUCAAACAUUUAAUGUUAUCAAAAUGGGCUGUUCCCAAAUCAUCCAUAUUAAAAUGCAUUAUACAAAACUCUGCUUAUAGUAAUCAGAAAUUCAGUUAUUGUCAUCAGAAUCGGUACUUUUCCAUUGUCCUGUAUCUUGAUUUCAACUCAAUUGUUUAUAUUCCAGAAGAAACAAUGAGGAUUUCUUUCGGACCUGAGGAGGAUGCUGUAAGCAUUGAAAGCGUUUGUCCGUGUAUUCCUGUAAAAAAAAUAAUA